GCAGCCCAGGGUGAUCUUGAAUUUGUGAUUCUCCUGUCUCAGCCUCCCAAGUGCUUCAAUUACAAGCAUGGACCAUCAUGCCCAACACUAUAUUUAAAGUCAAGAUUUUCUUCUUUGAGCCUGUCACCUCAAGAUCACAACAGGGCCGCCGCUUCUCAGGCACAACAUUUUCAUAAAGGCACAGGAGAAGAUCUCAAAUACAGAAAAGGCAAUGUCGCUAAAGUUCUAAUUCAAACUUUCACAUUACUUAUAAGGGCUGUAUAUAAAAGGAAGGAGAUAGCUCAGAUCCUAGAAGGAGGCUGGCAGUAGUGAUCUCAAAGCCCCAUCUCAUCUCUGCCCACCCUCCUCUGCCUGUCCAGCAUCAUGAAGACCCUCGUGAUUGCCCUCUUGCUCCCCUCUCUGCACAACAAUGCACUGCUCCUGUGAAGAAGGUAAGAGUCACACCGCCCCUGACUGCUGCCUCUCCUUCAUCUCCCGUUGGAACCCGCAAUCUUGUGGUAGCCCAUUAUAAGACCGGCAGCAGUGCCACACAAGUGGUAUCCUCUUUUUCACCAAAAAAGGCCUGUAUAUCUGUGCUGAUCCCAGCAAUGCCUGGGUCCAGAAAUACAUCAAGGACCUGGACGCGAAUUCUAGAAUGGUCCAAGAACCAGGGAGAGGUGCUGGAGGAUGGAGAGCCAGGGGAAUGAUCCUGCAGCCCCAUGAGUUAUCUCUGCUGUGAGUCCUCCUCCCUCCACUAACCACACUCUGAAACCUUUCUCAACUUUAAUUUAGUUAAGCCACUUAAAUUUUAAACCAUGUUACUCACCUGAUGUUUCCUCUGAGACGUCAAAUGAUCCCCUCUUAUUCUUAGUCCCCUCCCCAGUCAUUCAUACAGUGACUGACGGAUAGUUAUAAUGAAAGACUGUGCUCCUCUCUCUGAGUAUUCAUUUGACCAAAUCUAUCAACGGAUGCUUACUGAGUUUUUAGGAGCCCUUUACUCUGCUCAAACCAACAUCAGAACAAUGAAAAUUAUUUUAUAUUCUGAAAUAAACCUUGGGC